rnacentral:rRNA from 1 species
UACGUAGGGUGCGAGCGUUGUCCGGAAUUACUGGGCGUAAAGAGCUCGUAGGUGGCUUGUCGCGUUGUUCGUGAAAACUCACAGCUCAACUGUGGGCGUGCGGGCGAUACGGGCAGACUGGAGUACUGCAGGGGAGACUGGAAUUCCUGGUGUAGCGGUGAAAUGCGCAGAUAUCAGGAGGAACACCGGUGGCGAAGGCGGGUCUCUGGGCCGUAACUGACGCUGAGGAGCGAAAGCGUGGGGAGCGAACAGG